CGGCGGCGGCGCCCCGGGAAUGUGCGUCUGGGACGCGGCGAAAGAAGCUUCAUUAUGAGGCGGGGUGGAUGGCGGAAACGGGCUGGCGAUGGCGAUGGCUGGGGCAUAUGGGGCGGGUACAUGUCGGCAAAGGUUAAGAAAUUGGAGGAUCAGUUCCGGUCAGAUUCAGCCAUACAGCACCAGAGGGAUGGAAAUUCGUCAAGUAUCUUUAGUGGAGUUGCCAUCUAUGUCAAUGGCUUUACAGAUCCCUCAGCUGAUGAAUUAAGACGGCUAAUGAUGUUGCAUGGAGGCCAAUACCAUGUGUAUUACUCCAGAUCAAAAACAACUCACAUCAUUGCCACAAAUCUUCCAAAUGCCAAAAUAAAAGAAUUGAAAGGAGAAAAAGUAGUUCGGCCAGAGUGGAUCAUGGAAAGCAUUAAAGCUGGGCGUCUCCUCUCGCACAUUCCAUAUCAGCUUUACACCAAGCAGUCAAGUGUUCAAAAAGGUCUCAACUUCAAUAGCGUAUGCAAACCUGAAGAUGCUGUGCCAGGUCCAAGCAAUAUAGCUAAAGAUCUCAACAGGGUAAAUCAUAUUAAAAAGUGUGAGGUGGAAAACGAGAUCACGCCCAAUGGAAUAAGUAGCUGGAAUGAAGAAGAGGAAGAAGAAAGUGACGAUUUUGGAUUUACGGAGCUGGAGCAGAUCCUUCCUGGACGGAAACAAAAUGGGAUUCAGUCUCACAAAGACAGCACUGCCAUUUUUAACGGACACACACACACUUCUACCAGUGCCUUAAAGACACAGGAUUGCUUGGUGCCCUCUGGCAACGGUGUUGCAAGUAGGUUCUCUCCAGGCCCUGUGCAGGAGGAGGGGAAGACUGAAAAAGGCAUGGUUGACUUUAGAGACUGCACAACGCAGCAGUUGCAGCAAAGCAACAAGAACACAGACUUUUCGUGGAAUCCACAUAGGACUAUGAGUAAUUCAUCCUCAUCUUCAUCUUUGCACAGUAAUGCUAAAAUAAAUGGUGCUCACCACUCCACUGUUCAGGGGCCUUCAAGCACAAAAAGCACUUCUGUACCUGCUCCUAGCAAGGCAGCUUCCUUACCUGUGUCCAAACCUUCAGAUUGUAGUUUUAUUUCUGACUUUUAUUCACGUUCAAGACUGCAUCAUAUAUCAACGUGGAAGUGUGAAUUGACAGAGUUUGUCAACAGCCUGCAGAGAAAAAACAGCGGUGUCUUUCCAGGAAGGGAAAAAUUAAAAAAAUGGAAAGCAGGCAGGUCUGCACUUAAAACUGACACAGGUAAUGUGUCUGUUGCGAGCUCAGCCAAGCCACAGAGCUGUAUAAUGCACGUGGAUAUGGAUUGCUUCUUUGUGUCUGUGGCUAUCCGAAAUAGACCAGAUCUCAAAGGAAAACCAGUAGCUGUUACUAGUAACAGAGGUGCAGGAAAGGCACCACUGCGCCCUGGUGCAAACCCCCAGCUUGAACAGCAAUAUUACCAGAAUAAGCUAUUGAAUGGCAAAGCAGCAGAAAUUAGAGUACCUGAUAAGCUGGACUCAUCAGUCUGGGAGCAUCCAGAUUCCACACAUGUGAAUGGAGCUGACUUCGAUCUCACUGUUCUGUCCAUGGCUGAAAUAGCUUCUUGUAGUUACGAAGCCAGACAAGUCGGCAUAAAGAAUGGAAUGUUUUUUGGCCAAGCAAAAAAGUUGUGUCCAAAUCUUCAAGCUGUUUCGUAUGAUUUUGAUGCGUACAAAGAGGUUGCACGGACAGUAUAUGAAAUAUUAGCAAGCUAUACUCAUAACAUCGAAGCAGUCAGUUGUGAUGAAGCACUAGUAGAUAUCACUGAAAUCCUUACAGAGACCAGAUUGACUCCUGAUGAACUUGCAAAUGCUAUCCGCACCGAAAUCAAAGCCCAAACUAAAUGCACUGCUUCUGUUGGGAUGGGUUCCAAUAUUCUGCUGGCCAGAAUGGCAACUCGUAAAGCAAAACCAGAUGGACAGUAUCACUUAAAACCUGAAGAAGUGGAUGAUUUUAUCAGAGGGCAAUUUGUUACUAGUCUUCCAGGAGUUGGCAGGACGAUGGAAUCUAAGCUGGCUUCUUUGGGAAUUAAAACCUGUGGAGAUCUGCAGUGUGCUUCAAUGUCAAAACUGCAAAAAGAAUUUGGUCCAAAAACAGGACAAAUGCUCUACAGAUUUUGUCGUGGUUUGGAUGAUCGACCUGUUCGUACAGAAAAAGAAAGAAAAUCUGUUUCGGCAGAAAUCAACUAUGGAAUAAGGUUUACACAGCCUAAGGAAGCAGAAGCUUUCCUUCUGAGCCUCUCAGAAGAAAUCCAACGUAGACUUGAGGCUGCUGGUAUGAAGGGUAAACGGUUGACCCUUAAAAUUAUGGUCAGAAAGGCUGGGGCACCAGUGGAGCCUGCAAAAUACGGAGGUCAUGGAAUCUGUGAUAAUAUCGCCAGGACUGUGACUCUCGACCAUGCAACAGACAGUGCAAAAGUAAUUGGGAAAGAAACUCUAAACAUGUUUCACACAAUGAAACUGAACAUAUCAGAUAUGCGAGGGGUUGGAAUUCAGGUACAGCAGUUAGUUCCCAUCAGUAAAACCACUUCAGCUCACUCAACAGUACAAUCUGGACACUUACCUGGUGGAUCGCAUUCAGUUGUUGAUCUUUUUCAUGUUCAGAAAGCAAAAAAGUGCUCAGAAGAAGAACAUAAGAAAGUAUUUGUGGCUGCUAUGGACCUUGAAAUAUCUUCUGAUUCAAGAACUUGCACUUUUCUUCCAUCUCGCGGUACCCAUCUCACAUCUGGUCUCAAUUCUAAUGUGAACAACACUGAGUCUGCUGUCAAGUGGAAUGGUGUGCAUUCACCUAUCAGCGUAAAAUCCAGGCUUAAUUUGAGUAUUGAGGUUCCGUCUGCUUCCCAGCUAGAUAAGUCUGUGCUAGAAGCUCUGCCGCCUGAUCUCCGAGAACAAGUAGAGCAAAUAUACACCAUUCAGCAAGGAGAGAGUUACGGAGAUAGCAAAAAAGAGCCAAUAAAUGGAUGUAACACUGCACUUCUGUCACAACCAGUUGGAACAGUGCUUCUACAAAUACCAGAGCUCCAAGAACCAAAUACCAAUAUGGGAAUUAAUGUAAUAGCCUUGCCAGCUUUCUCACAGGUGGAUCCUGAGGUUUUUGCUGCACUACCUGCUGAGUUGCAAGCAGAGCUGAAAGAUGCAUAUGAUCAAAGGCAAAAGCAAUCAGAGCAGCAACCUGCUAACACUUUUCUGUCAAAAAAUCCUUUCCUACACCUGAAGCAUGCAACAAUAAAAAAUAAGAAAAAAAUCAGGAAAAAAAAUCCAGUCAGUCCUGUAAAAAAGAUUCAGAGUCCUUUGAAAAACAAACUCAUUGGUAGCCCUGCAAAAAACAUGCCGGCUACAUCUGGAAGCCCACAGAAGCUAAUAGAUGGUUUCUUGAAACAAGAAGGAACAGCUGCUCAGCCGGAAGCAGUUCCAUCAACUUCAGAUUCUUCAGGCCCAUCAGCUCUGCAGACUGAACAACAGGCUGGUUCAUUUAGGCCACAAGCGCCCAACCUGGCUGGAGCUGUUGAAUUCAAUGAUGUAAAGACGUUGUUGAAAGAAUGGAUUACAACUAUUUCAGAUCCUAUGGAAGAAGACAUUCUGCAGGUUGUGAAGUAUUGUACUGAUCUAAUAGAAGAAAAAGAUUUGGAAAAGUUAGAUCUGGUUGUUAAGUACAUGAAAAGGUGAGAUUUGCACCGAUGGCAUUGUGUCUCUCCGAAGCCUGGUAGCAAGCAUAGGACAAGGCAUCAGGAGUUGGAUGAUAUGCAGUUGUCCAUAUGAUACUGAUGUUAGGUCUUCCAAAGCUGUAAGUGUAGGAACCCUCUGCUCUCCUGUAAUAGUGAUCUAGAAGGGGAUUUUGAGAGUACAGAGCUGCUUUGUUUUCCUUGGGCAUUUCCUUAAUUUGCUUCUAGUAGCAGCUGAAUGAUAGAGGUAACUCACAGCUCUCUGUGGGCCUCCAUGAUUUGGUUCCAUUUUUAGCAAUAAACACAAUAUAGUGCCCCCAAAACCUAUUAUUUAAAUGUCUUCAUCACCCUUGGCAUUUGUUGGAAGAAAAAAGUAGCAUGUAUGUCUUGGGAUGAGGAAGGAAAGAUCAGGAUCCAGAAGCUUGCCGUUUCUGAUUCUUCAGUAUGAAGUUGGUAGAAGGUCACCACUUCAAUCACAGGCUUACAACCACUGCAAAAUGCUAACGUUUACAAGCUGGUGUGACACUGCGUGCAUCAGAAAUUUCACCAUUGAAUGGCAGAGGGAUCUGUGGCAUUAGGUUAAUGCAGUCAUCUGUGGAAUCAGUUUGGAAUAUGGCAUUUGACUUCAUUCUUGACAAU